UGCCAGCAGCCGCGGUAAUACGUAGGUGGCAAGCGUUAUUCGGAUUUAUUGGGCGUAAAGGGUUCGUAGGGGGUUUGUUAAGUCUGGUGUGAAAGCCCGCAGCUCAACUGCGGAACUGCACUGGAAACUGGCAUACUAGAGCAUCGGAGAGGAGAGUGGAAUUCCUGGUGUAGCGGUGGAAUGCGUAGAUAUCAGGAGGAACACCAAAGGCGAAGGCAGCUCUCUGGACGAUUGCUGACCCUGAGGAACGAAAGCUAGGGGAGCGAACAGGAUUAGAUA
rnacentral:rRNA from 1 species